CAGGGACAGUACAUGUGCAGACACCUACAAGAUACUCCAGUCUGGUGUCUCAUUAUUCAGAAUCAUUAAUGCAGCAUGUUUUCAACUGAUGCUCACAGCAACCAUGUUUCAAAACCCGAACAAUAUCGAAAAGGUGGAAAAGCAUACGUGGUAAAUCUUCAAAUCCAAUUUCUUCAAGCAAACUUCAGCGAAGAGGGGACAGCUUUGUGUUGAACUGGAAAUGGACCGAGCCACAGCUGAAAAAUGCAUUGCUGGAAAAGCGCAG